AGAUCUGAAAACCUUACUGACCACUCUAGCAUCAAAGGUCUGGAUUGGAGAGACUCCCAGCUGUAAUAUGAUCAAUGUAUGCAGAGAAAACAUAAUGGAUGGUGCCAUCUGAGCCUUUGCAAGGAGUUUCAAUCCAGAAGCCAAAUUAAGUGUCAUAUUUAUGGAUGACUUCAUGCAAGCAGAGGGUUCAGUGGACGAGGGGGGCCCUACACGGGAGUUUUUCCGACUGCUUAUGAUAGCUCUCAGAGACAGCACCCUAUUUACAGGGCCACAGAACACAUUACACAGAGGUCUCUACAGAACAUAUGGAGUGAUGGCUGUCGCACUGGUGCAUGGAGGAGUGUUACCUUCUUUUUUUUCCGAGAGGCUCUACCAAAACCUUUGCUCUACACCUACAUCACCACCCACUCUCGAAGAAGUAGCAGAUCAGGAUUUGCAGUUGAAACUCAAAAAGAUCAGUGAGGCAGUUGAUAUUACAGCGGCUAGAGCUGCCAUUGAGGAAGCUGCGGAGAGCCUGUCCUUGUAUCACCACCAUGGAGGGACGGGACCAGUUGGUUCAGGCUGCCACAAGUUUCUA